rnacentral:rRNA from 1 species
AACUUGUCAAGUUUGGCC